GACGAACGCUGGCGGCGUGCUUAACACAUGCAAGUCGAACGGAAAGGCCCUGCUUUUGUGGGGUUCUCGAGUGGCGAACGGGUGAGUAACACGUGAGUAACCUGCCCUUGACUUUGGGAUAACUUCAGGAAACUGGGGCUAAUACCGGAUAGGAGCUCCUGCUGCAUGGUGGGGGUUGGAAAGUUUCGGCGGUUGGGGAUGGACUCGCGGCUUAUCAGCUUGUUGGUGGGGUAGUGGCUUACCAAGGCUUUGACGGGUAGCCGGCCUGAGAGGGUGACCGGCCACAUUGGGACUGAGAUACGGCCCAGACUCCUACGGGAGGCAGCAGUGGGGAAUAUUGCACAAUGGGCGGAAGCCUGAUGCAGCAACGCCGCGUGCGGGAUGAAGGCCUUCGUGUUGUAAACCGCUUUCGCCUGUGACGAAGCGUGAGUGACGGUAAUGGGUAAAGAAGCACCGGCUAACUACGUG
rnacentral:rRNA from 1 species